rnacentral:rRNA from 1 species
UACGUAGGGUCCGAGCGUUGUCCGGAGUUACUGGCGUAAAGCGCGCGCAGGCGGCGGUGCUGGCCCGGCGUGAAAGCCCCCGGCUCAACCGGGGAGAGUCGUCGGGGACCGCACCGCUUGAGGGCGGUAGGGGCUGGUGGAAUGCCUGGUGUAGUGGUGAAAUGCGUAGAGAUCAGGCAGAACACCUGGGGCGAAGGCGGCCAGCUGGGCCGUCCCUGACGCUGAGGCGCGAAGGCGUGGGGAGCGAACGGG